rnacentral:rRNA from 1 species
AAUACCAGCACCCCGAGUGGUCGGGACGAUUAUUGGGCCUAAAGCAUCCGUAGCCGGUUUUACAAGUCCUCCGUUAAAUCCAACUGCUUAACAGAUGGGCUGCGGAGGAUACUAUAAGACUAGGAGGCAGGAGAGGCAAGCGGUACUCAGUGGGUAGGGGUAAAAUCCGUUGAUCCAUUGAAGACCACCAGUGGCGAAGGCGGCUUGCCAGAAUGCGCUCGACGGUGAGGGAUGAAAGCUGGGGGAGCAAACCGGA